ACAUUACGGAGUUAUCUUACAAGAAUUGCUGGUGGGAGGCAAAACAAGAGGGCGAUUAUCGAAAUGGGCCAAUGACAACCAUAGUGGAAGGGGAAUCUGGUGGCCUAAAACAAAUUGAGAAGCUGCUGCGCUGAAGAAUGGUUCCAAAGCUGUUCAUAGUAACAAACAUAACUCGGCACAUUUACCUUUGAUGGUAUGUGUAAAAGAUACUGCGACGGCAGCAAAUGAGACAUUAGACAUGACAUGUCCAAGAGCAUGACAUGCUGCAACAGGAGUAAGGACUCCUAGGAGAUCCUUAUUUAUUGGCUGAAACAUGGAAAGAUAAGUUCAUUGGAUCACCUACAUUAUGCAUAAUGGAUUGUAUAAUAUAGAGUUAUAGACAGAAAGAAACUCACUGCUCGUUUUGGGAGUCCAAUAGACCAACAGAUGAGACAGUAUGUAACACCAACAAGAAG